UACAGAGGGUGCAAGCGUUAAUCGGAAUUACUGGGCGUAAAGCGUGCGUAGACGGUUACAUAAGUCGGGUGUGAAAGCCCCGGGCUCAACCUGGGAAUUGCAUUCGAGACUGCGUAGCUAGGGUGCGGAAGAGGGAAGCGGAAUUUCGGGUGUAGCGGUGAAAUGCGUAGAUAUCCGAAGGAACAUCAGUGGCGAAAGCGGCUUCCUGGUCCAGCACCGACGUCAGGCACGAAAGCGUGGGGAGCAAACAGG
rnacentral:rRNA from 1 species